GAGACAGCAGCAGCCGCGGUAAUACGUAGGUGGCAAGCGUUGUCCGGAAUUAUUGGGCGUAAAGCGCGCGCAGGUGGUUUAAUAAGUCUGAUGUGAAAGCCCACGGCUCAACCGUGGAGGGUCAUUGGAGACUGUUAAACUUGAGUGCAGGAGAGAAAAGUGGAAUUCCUAGUGUAGCGGUGAAAUGCGUAGAGAUUAGGAGGAACACCAGUGGCGAAGGCGGCUUUUUGGCCUGUAACUGACACUGAGGCGCGAAAGCGUGGGGAGCAAACAGGAUUAGAUACCCGGGUAGUCCCUGUCUCUUAUAC
rnacentral:rRNA from 1 species